UAGAUUUCGUCCUAUUUCUACAUUGAUUCAAGCCCCACCCGCUCGAGGCUAAUGCUGUCUUGCCAGUUGUCAGCCGACUGGCAACACCAUAGCACAUCAUGUUUGCGACGCUGAAGUUUGCAGCGUUGUUGCUCGCGGUUGUUGUCUGCUGGGCAACGCAAGAUUAUGAUUAUAAUGACGCUGAAAUAGACGAGGAGCCUACUCUGGGUGAUUCUCCAUAUGGAUCUCUUUGGCCGUUGCCUCAAAAAGUCCAAAUAUCCACGGUAGUAUUCAAACUCAGUGGUGCUAGCUUCCAUAUAUUCGACGCUAAAGCAUCAUCUUCUGGUGCGAGCUGCAGACUUCUUCAAAAUGCAUAUCGAAGGUAUGAUGAGUACAUCUUUACCAGUUCCAGAAAACAAGGGCAAAACAAGAGCAAAAAGGCAUUGGCCUCUGACAUGUCUGAAUUACAGGUGUGGAUCACAUCAGCUGACUCUGAGUGUGACAGCUACCCCAGUGUGACAUCUGAUGAGUCAUACAAACUGUCAGUGGACUCUCCUGUUGCUGUGCUGAAAGCACCUAAGGUGUGGGGAGCUCUGAGAGGUCUGGAGACUUUUAGCCAGUUGGUGUAUAAGGAUGAAUAUGGAGCAAAAAGCAUCAAUAGGACAGACAUUCACGACUUCCCACGGUUUGCACAUCGAGGCCUCUUAUUGGACACCUCUCGUCACUUCCUGCCCAUCAAAGUAAUUUUAGCCAAUCUGGAAGCCAUGGCGUGGAACAAAUUCAAUGUUUUCCACUGGCACAUAGUAGAUGACCCCUCCUUCCCUUACCUGAGCCGUACCUUCCCCCAGCUGAGUCAACAUGGAGCAUACCACCCGUACACACAUGUGUACACGCCUUCUGAUGUGAAGAUGAUCAUCGAGUUUGCUCGCCUAAGGGGCAUUCGGGUUGUCCCUGAGUUUGACACCCCUGGGCACACUCAGUCAUGGGGCAAAGGGCAGAAGGACCUGCUGACCCCCUGUUACUCUGGAGCCAGCCCCUCUGGUUCGUUCGGACCGGUCAACCCCAUGCUCAACACCACCUAUGACUUUAUGAGCAUGUUCUUCAAGGAAGUCAACACAGUGUUCCCUGAUGCCUACGUCCAUCUGGGAGGAGACGAGGUCGACUUCAGCUGCUGGAAGUCCAACCCUGACAUCCAGAAGUUCAUGGAGCAGCAAGGCUUUGGGAUGGACUACAGCAAGCUGGAGUCUUUCUACAUCCAGAGGCUCUUGGAUAUCGUCACCACUACCAACAAGGGCUACAUGAUCUGGCAGGAGGUCUUUGACAACGGUGUUAAGUUGAAGUCGGACACGGUAGUGCAUGUGUGGAUGGGGAACAAGGUGGAGGAGGAGCUUCAGAAGGUGACGGAGGCGGGCUUCACCACCAUCCUCUCCGCCCCCUGGUACCUAGACUACAUUAGCUAUGGACAGGACUGGCAGAAGUUCUACAGAGCCGAGCCGCUCAGUUUCAAGGGGCUUGAGGAGGUUUGCACACUGGCCCCAACACUCAUCACAAACCCAGUGGUGUAAAGUACUACGCACAGAUGCCCAGAAAAAGCUGGUGAUUGGAGGAGAGGCAUGUCUGUGGGGAGAAUAUGUGGAUGCUACCAACCUGACCCCUAGACUCUGGCCCCGUGCCAGUGCUGUGGGGGAGCGGUUGUGGAGUGACAGGGAUGUGAGGGACCUAAAUGAUGCCUACAGUCGUCUAGCCAAGCACCGCUGUCGCAUGGUCCAGCGUGGUAUCCCAGCUGAGCCUCUCUUUACAGGUUACUGUGCACAUGAGUACAAAGGGGUAUGAAAAGUGAAGACCACUGUGAUCGUCUUCAUGACUUCAUUGAUGCACUGAUACGAGCCAAAAUUAGUUUAAAAACAAUCCUCAUUCCAUGUAAUGUCACAUUGAUCUUGUUUUUAGAAAACCAUUUGUUUUUAUAUGAAUGUAUGAUUCAAAUGAUUAAGAAU